GUGUGUGAAUUGAAGCGUCUCCGUGUGGUCGGCGAACACUGCAACAUGCGACAUGUCGGUACCAUACUCCACCACACGGAGAUGACUCUGAUUCACUCAC
rnacentral:pre_miRNA from 1 species